UACGUAGGGUGCGAGCGUCGUCCGGAAUUAUUGGGCGUAAAGAGCUCGUAGGCGGUGUGUCACGUCGUUCGUGAAAACCUGCAGCUUAACUGUGGGCGUGCGGUCGAUACGGGCAUCACUGGAGUUCGGCAGGGGAGACUGGAAUUCCUGGUGUAGCGGUGAAAUGCGCAGAUAUCAGGAGGAACACCGGUGGCGAAGGCGGGUCUCUGGGCCGAUACUGACGCUGAGGAGCGAAAGCGUGGGGAGCGAACAGG
rnacentral:rRNA from 1 species